rnacentral:rRNA from 1 species
AGCGAACGUUUGCGGCGGGCCUAACACAUGCAAGUCGAACGCACUAGCAAUAGUGAGUGGCGCACGGGUGCGUAACACGUGAGUAAUCAACCCUUCAGCUUGGGAUAACGACUUGAAAGGGUCGCUAAUACCGGAUACGGCGCGGGAGGCUUCGGCUUCUCACGAGAAAGCCUCGCAAGGGGCACUGAAGGACGAGCCUGCGGCCCAUCAGCUAGUUGGGUGAGGUAAGAGCUCACCAAGGCGAAGACGGGUAGCUGGUCUGAGAGGAUGAUCAGCCACACUGGAACUGAGACACGGUCCAGAACUCCUACGGGAGGCAGCA